AAAUUGGCCCUAAAGGUACAUUUUCAUUUUAAUUCCGAAAGGUUUUAAGUCCAAACUGCGACUGCAUACGUCUCCUUCUUGACAACUACAGUCCUCCAUUCGACUGAUUUGUCUUCUCACACACUUGAGAGAAUGAACCCAGAACGGCGUAAUCUGUGUCUUUUCAUGCCAGCAGUUAAUGCCACUCGGAGAUGAAGAAGAAUUAGAAUGCAGUUUUUGAAGCCACAUGGCUGGCAGGGUUGCAGCAAGCUGGAGCCUAACCCGGCAACACAGGGCACCAGGCUGGAGGAGGGGACACACCCAGGACGGGACACCAGUCCAUCACAAGGCACCCCAAGCAGGACUUGAACCCCAGACCCACCAGAGAGCAGGACCUGACCAAACCCACUGCACCACCAUGUCACCAUGCCCCCCCUCUUUACCGGAGCAGUUUAAGGGUUGCGAUGAACCGGAGCCUAACCCAGCGAUGCAGGACGUAAGGCUGGAGGAGGAGGGAACGCACCCUGGACAGGACGCCAGUCCGUCACGUGGCACCCCAAGUGGGAGUCAAACCCCAGACCCACCAGAGAGCAGGACCCGGCCAAGCCCGUUGCGCCACUCGGCCCCCACCUGCAUGCAAAAAGUGUCUGGAAAACUCCAAUAUCACGUCAUAAGUGUUUCUUUAUUUCCAUAUUUUGCUGCUUUCAGCACAAAUAAUAAUCACACUGUAGUAUACUAUCACAUUUUUUUCAGCAUAAUUGUUAGUUUCAUACCAUAGCUUGCGCUUGGUAGUGUCUACCCGCAGUAAGACUCAGACACAGUAAGGUGUGUACCAUCCAAUAGCGAAAAAUUCUAUCUAUAUCGCCAACAAGCCUUUUACCAAAGCUUUGGUAAGGCUAUGCAGCCCUGGCCCAUGUAGCUGCUGUGUACUUCUGACAUCAGCAGUUCUGGCCACAGCAUUUUGAAACAUUUUGAAACGAGUACUGUGGGGCUAAAAGUGAGCACCUUACUGUCUAAAAGUUGCUGACAAUCACCGCUUCUUAUUCUGUGUUUUGCAUGUGGCUGUAACAUUGGUGGUAACCUAUUUCACUCACUGUUGUUAACUGCUUGUUCAGAGCAGGGUCACGGUGAUCCGGAGCCUAUCCCAGAAGCAUAGGGACCUAGUCUAGUAGGGAUUGCAUUCCUGAUGGGACUCCAGUCCAUCUCAAGGUAGCCAAACAUUCACACAUUCUGGCAAUUUGCUACCGACUUCGUUUUGUUACAGACACAUGGUGAUUAAGCCAAUUUUAUGUAAGUAUUAUUUUUUAUGACUAUAGUAGAAUGUUGAAAAUCAGGUCUUAUUAAAGGAAGUAGAAAAGUCCGCUUUGUGAGAUUAUAACUGGUCAGAAUGCCCUGAGCAACACAUGCAGAGAUCUCUAGAUGUAGUACAGUCUAAACCCUUUUUUGGCAGAGUGUCAGCAUGUAUUUGGCAGGCUGUAGGGUCAUGAUCUCCCCCUGGUCUUCUUUUUGAUGCCAGCAAUCAUGCAACUGGGCCAGAUGCUGGAGCUCAGCGAUGGAAAAGGAGCCGCCAUGAAAACUAUCUUCACUCAACCUGUGGCUCAUGGACCACACGCUGCUUCAUUAAGGCUGGCGUUUGGUCCACCUGACACGGUCCUUGCCGGAGGCAGAUAAAUGAUUUGUCGCGUCGAAUUCGCAGCAACAGUUUGGGUAACUGGCCAUAAAUUACAAAUAGUUCAUUACAGAAGUGAACUUUUUACAUUUUUAGUAGGAAUUGACCU
rnacentral:lncRNA from 1 species